rnacentral:snoRNA from 1 species
AGCCAAUGAUGAGCUCUUUUUGAAUUUUCUGACACCUCGUAUGAAAACUGCUUGCGGUUGUUGAUUACGGAGACGAGCUGAGGCUU